GUGCCAGCCGCCGCGGUAAUACGGAGGGUGCUAGCGUUGUUCGGAAUUACUGGGCGUAAAGCGAGUGCAGGCGGUUUGGCAAGUCAGGUGUGAAAGCCCGGGGCUCAACCCCGGAAGUGCAUUUGAAACUGCCUUACUUGAGUAUGGGAGAGGAGAGUGGAAUUCCCAGUGUAGAGGUGAAAUUCGUAGAUAUUGGGAGGAACACCCGUGGCGAAGGCGGCUCUCUGGACCAAUACUGACGCUGAGACUCGAAAGCGUGGGGAGCAAACAGGAUUAGAUACCCUGGUAGUCCACGCCGUAAACGAUGAGAACUAGGUGUAGCGGGUAUUGACCCCUGCUGUGCCGAAGCUAACGCAUUAAGUUCUCCGCCUGGGGAGUACGGCCGCAAGGCUAAA
rnacentral:rRNA from 1 species